UAUAUUUUAGUGUAUGAUGCACAAUAGUUUUUGAUACUAUUAGAUAUAGUUUAAUUCUAUAAAAUAUAA
rnacentral:tRNA from 16 species